rnacentral:rRNA from 1 species
CACGUAGGAGGCGAGCGUUGUCCGGAUUCAUUGGGCGUAAAGAGCACGCAGGCGGUUUGGCAAGUCGGAUGUGAAAACCCGGAGCUCAACUCCGGACCUGCAUCCGAAACUGCCCGACUAGAGGUAGGUAGGGGAGAUCGGAAUUCCUGGUGUAGCGGUGAAAUGCGCAGAUAUCAGGAGGAACACCGGUGGCGAAGGCGGGUCUCUGGGCAACAACUGACGCUGAGGAGCGAAAGCGUGGGGAGCGAACAGG